CAGUCGCCGCGGUAACACGAAGGGGGCUAGCGUUGCUCGGAAUGACUGGGCGUAAAGGGCGCGUAGGCGGAUGGCACAGUCAGAUGUGAAAUUCCCGGGCUUAACCUGGGGGCUGCAUUUGAUACGUGUUGUCUAGAGUGAGGAAGAGGGUCGUGGAAUUCCCAGUGUAGAGGUGAAAUUCGUAGAUAUUGGGAAGAACACCGGUGGCGAAGGCGGCGACCUGGUCCUUUACUGACGCUGAGGCGCGAAAGCGUGGGGAGCAAACAGGAUUAGAUACCCCGGUAGUCCCUGUCUCUUAUAC
rnacentral:rRNA from 1 species